AGGAUUGCAUUAUAAUACAUGUAAAAUGCCUGACAUUCAGAAGUUUUAAUCACAGCUAUCACACAAAAAGCCAACUGAGAUGUACCUGUAUACAGUGUCCAUAUUUCUCAAAAUGUAUUUUUGACCAACAGAUAUUUUCUGGCAAGUUUCUAUACGAAGUAUGAUCCAACUCACUUCAUCCUAAACACAGCUUCUCUCCUGAGUGUACUAAUUCCCAAAAUGCCACAACUACAUGGUGUUCGGAUCUUUGGAAUUAAUAAGUAUUGAAAUGUUUUGAAACUGAAAAAAAAUUUUACAGCUACUGAAUUUCUUAUAAGGAAGGAGUGGUUAGUAAACUGCACUGUUUCUGUGAUAAUGUGAAAUGAGAAGUAUUUACAUUGGAGGGCCAAUGGCUGGUCCUUCAAGUGCUGUUUUGAAGUGCAGAUUUCCAUUAAAUGAUGCCUCUGUUUAAUACACCUGGUACAUUUCUGAAGAGGGGCUUUAUAAGCAGGCUGGGCAGGCCCAGCUUAUAAGUUAAAGGGCAUCACAGUGAGGGUGUAGUAGAUAAAUUCAAGGAAAUAAGAGAUUUGUAAGAAACUAGGACCAGCUUAACUUAUAAUGAAUGGGCAUUGUGUUAAGAAAAGAACAUUUCCAGUCAUUCAGCUGUGGUUAUUUAAAGCAGACUUACAUGUAAACCGGAAUCCUCUCUAUACAAGUUUAUUAAAGAUUAUUUUUAUUACCGUA
rnacentral:lncRNA from 1 species